AGUGGCGGACUGGUGAGUAACGCGUGAGGAACCUGCCUUUCAGAGGGGGACAACAGUUGGAAACGACUGCUAAUACCGCAUGACGCAUUUUGAUCGCAUGGUCGAAAUGCCAAAGAUUUAUCGCUGAAAGAUGGCCUCGCGUCUGAUUAGCUAGUUGGUGAGGUAACGGCCCACCAAGGCGACGAUCAGUAGCCGGACUGAGAGGUUGACCGGCCACAUUGGGACUGAGAUACGGCCCAGACUCCUACGGGAGGCAGCAGUGGGGAAUAUUGGGCAAUGGGCGCAAGCCUGACCCAGCAACGCCGCGUGAAGGAAGAAGGCUUUCGGGUUGUAAACUUCUUUUAAGUGGGAAGAGUAGAAGACGGUACCACUUGAAUAAGCCACGGCUAACUACGUGCCAGCAGCCGCGGUAAUACGUAGGUGGCAAGCGUUGUCCGGAUUUACUGGGUGUAAAGGGCGUGCAGCCGGGCAUGCAAGUCAGAUGUGAAAUCUCAGGGCUUAACCCUGAAACUGCAUUUGAAACUGUAUGUCUUGAGUGCCGGAGAGGUAAUCGGAAUUCCUUGUGUAGCGGUGAAAUGCGUAGAUAUAAGGAAGAACACCAGUGGCGAAGGCGGAUUACUGGACGGUAACUGACGGUGAGGCGCGAAAGCGUGGGAAGCGAACAGG
rnacentral:rRNA from 1 species